rnacentral:rRNA from 1 species
GAYGAACGCUGGCGGCGUGCCUAAUACAUGCAAGUCGAGCGAAUGGAUUAAGAGCUUGCUCUUAUGAAGUUAGCGGCGGACGGGUGAGUAACACGUGGGUAACCUGCCCAUAAGACUGGGAUAACUCCGGGAAACCGGGGCUAAUACCGGAUAAYAUUUUGAACYGCAUGGUUCGAAAUUGAAAGGCGGCUUCGGCUGUCACUUAUGGAUGGACCCGCGUCGCAUUAGCUAGUUGGUGAGGUAACGGCUCACCAAGGCAACGAUGCGUAGCCGACCUGAGAGGGUGAUCGGCCACACUGGGACUGAGACACGGCCCAGACUCCUACGGGAGGCAGCAGUAGGGAAUCUUCCGCAAUGGACGAAAGUCUGACGGAGCAACGCCGCGUGAGUGAUGAAGGCUUUCGGGUCGUAAAACUCUGUUGUUAGGGAAGAACAAGUGCUAGUUGAA